rnacentral:rRNA from 1 species
CUGCGUUCAUUUAUACCUGCUGGAAACUUAAGCAUAUCAAUAAGCGGAGGAAAAGAAACCAACAGGGAUUGCCUUAGUAACGGCGAGUGAAGCGGCAACAGCUCAAAUUUGAAAUCUGGCUCUUUCAGAGUCCGAGUUGUAAUUUGCAGAGGGCGCUUUGGCUUUGGCAGCGGUCCAAGUUCCUUGGAACAGGACGUCACAGAGGGUGAGAAUCCCGUACGUGGUCGCUAGCUAUUGCCGUGUAAAGCCCCUUCGACGAGUCGAGUUGUUUGGGAAUGCAGCUCUAAAUGGGAGGUAAAUUUCUUCUAAAGCUAAAUAUUGGCCAGAGACCGAUAGCGCACAAGUAGAGUGAUCGAAAGAUGAAAAGCACUUUGGAAAGAGAGUCAAACAGCACGUGAAAUUGUUGAAAGGGAAGCGCUUGCAGCCAGACUUGCUUGCAGUUGCUCAUCCGGGCUUUUGCCCGGUGCACUCUUCUGCAGGCAGGCCAGCAUCAGUUUGGGCGGUGGGAUAAAGGUCUCUGACACGUUCCUUCCUUCGGGUUGGCCAUAUAGGGGAGACGUCAUACCACCAGCCUGGACUGAGGUCCGCGCAUCUGCUAGGAUGCUGGCGUAAUGGCUGUAAGCGGCCCGUCUUGAAACACGGACCAAGGAGUCUAACAUCUAUGCGAGUGUUUGGGUGUCAAGCCCGAGCGCGUAAUGAAAGUGAACGGAGGUGGGAACCCGCAAGGGCGCACCAUCGACCGAUCCUGAAGUUUACGGAAGGAUUUGAGUAAGAGCAUGGCUGUUGGGACCCGAAAGAUGGUGAACUAUGCUUGAAUAGGGUGAAGCCAGAGGAAACUCUGGUGGAGGCUCGCAGCGGUUCUGACGUGCAAAUCGAUCGUCAAAUUUGGGCAUAGGGGCGAAAGACUAAUCGAACUCCCAAUUCCUCC